rnacentral:rRNA from 1 species
UACGGGAGGCAGCAGUAAGGAAUAUUGGUCAAUGGACGCAAGUCUGAACCAGCCAUGCCGCGUGGAGGAUGAAGGUCCUCUGGAUUGUAAACUUCUUUUAUCUGGGAAGAAACCCACUUUUUCUAGAGUGGUUGACGGUACCAGAUGAAUAAGCACCGGCUAACUCCGUGCCAGCAGCCGCGGUAAUACGGAGGGUGCAAGCGUUAUCCGGAUUCACUGGGUUUAAAGGGUGCGUAGGUGGGCAGUUAAGUCAGUGGUGAAAUCUCCGGGCUUAACCCGGAAACUGCCAUUGAUACUAUCUGUCUUGAAUGCCGUGGAGGUAAGCGGAAUAUGUCAUGUAGCGGUGAAAUGCUUAGAUAUGACAUAGAACACCAAUUGCGAAGGCAGCUUACUACACGAAUAUUGACACUGAGGCACGAAAGCGUGGGGAUCAAACAGGAUUAGAUAUCCCUGGUAGUCCACGCCCUAAACGAUGGAUACUCGACAUACGCGAUACACAGUGUGUGUCUGAGCGAAAGC